rnacentral:tRNA from 2 species
GCGGGUGUAGCUCAGAUGGUAGAGCGCCAGCCUUCCAAGCUGGUGGUCGCGGGUUCGAGUCCCGUCGCCCGCUCAA